UGGCUCAGGAUGAACGCUAGCGACAGGCCUAACACAUGCAAGUCAGGGGCAGCACAAGGAGCAAUCUGAGGUGGCGACCGGCGCACGGGUGAGUAACACGUAUGCAACCUGCCUGUAAGCGGGGAAUAACCCGUUGAAAGACGGACUAAUACCGCAUAAUACUAAAUUACUGCAUGGUAAUUUAUUUAAACAUUUAUGGCUUACAGAUGGGCAUGCGCAUGAUUAGCUAGUUGGAGAGGUAACGGCUCCCCAAGGCAACGAUCAUUAGGGGUUCUGAGAGGAAGGUCCCCCACACUGGUACUGAGACACGGACCAGACUCCUACGGGAGGCAGCAGUGAGGAAUAUUGGUCAAUGGACGAGAGUCUGAACCAGCCAAGUCGCGUGCAGGAAGAAUUGUCCUAUGGAUUGUAAACUGCUUUUGCAGGGGAAUAAAGUGCAUCACGUGUGAUGUUUUGUAUGUACUCUGCGAAUAAGGAUCGGCUAACUCCGUGCCAGCCGCGGC
rnacentral:rRNA from 1 species